UUGUUUCAAAGAUUAAGCCAUGCAUGUCUAAGUAUAAGCGAACUUAUACAGUGAAACUGCGGAUGGCUCAUUAAAACAGUUUGAAUUUAUUUGAUGAAUGUAUGAGAAUACUACUUGGAUAACCGUAGUAAUUCUAGAGCUAAUACAUGCAACGACGCCCGACCGUUUCACUACGGAAGGGCUGUAUUUAUUGGAUACCAAAACCAUCCUUCCCUCGGGAAGUUUUGUUUGAUGAUUCACAAUAACUGAUCGGAUCGCCACUGUGGUGGCGACAGGUCAUUCAACAUUCUGCCCUAUCAGCUUUCGAUGGUUGUGUAGUGGACAACCAUGGCCAUAACGGGUAACGGAGAAUCAGGGUUCGAUUCCGGAGAAGGAGCUUGAGAAUUGGCUACUACAUCUAAGGAAGGCAGCAGGCGCGCAAAUUACCCAAUCCCGAUUCGGGGAGGUAGUGACAAAAAAUAACAAUACCGGGCCUUUUUGGGCUUGGUAAUUGGAAUGAGGGAGAGUUAAACGGACCAUCGAGUAUCCAUUGGAGGGCAAGUCUGGUGCCAGCAGCUGCGGUAAUACCAGCUCCAAUAGCGUAUAUUAAAGUUGUUGCAGUUAAAAAGCUCGUAGUUGGACUUGUGUGCGCUGUCCGCGGGUGGCCUGCGCCCAAAAGGGCGUUUCGGUUCGGCCCCGGUGGCGCCUUGAAAUCUGCAGCUGGGGGGACGUUGGCCUUAACUGGUCGGCGACCGCACGCCGGCUGCUCGGUUACUGUGAGAAAAUUAGAGUGUUCAAGGCAGGCAUUGGGUGCAAUUGAAUACAUUAGCAUGGAAUAAUAAAAUAUGGCUCCUGCCGUAUUUUGUUGGUUUUGACUGGUGGGAGUAAUGAUUGAUAGGGACGGUUGGGGGUGCUAGUAUUGAGCGGCCAGAGGUGAAAUUCAUGGAUUCGCUCAAGACUAACUUAUGCGAAAGCAUUCACCAAGGACGUCCUCUUUAAUCAAGAACGAAAGUUGGGGGAUCGAAGACGAUCAGAUACCGUCGUAGUCUCAACCAUAAACUAUGUCGACUUGGGAUCGGCGGUAGUUUUUUCAUUAAGACACUGUCGGGACCACGGGAGAAAUCAAAGUGUCUGGACUCUGGGGGAAGUAUGGUCGCAAGGCUGAAACUUGAAGGAAUUGACGGAAGGGCACCACCAGGAGUGGAGCCUGCGGCUUAAUUUGACCCAACACGGGGAAACUUACCAGGUCCAGAGAUGUAGAGGAUUGACAGAUUGAAGCUCUUUCUUGAUCACUUCGGUGGUGGUGCAUGGCCGUUCUUAGUUGGUGGAGUGAUUUGUCU
rnacentral:rRNA from 1 species